CCUACGGGUGGCUGCAGUGGGGAAUAUUGCACAAUGGGCGCAAGCCUGAUGCAGCCAUGCCGCGUGUAUGAAGAAGGCCUUCGGGUUGUAAAGUACUUUCAGUCGUGAGGAAGGUGUUAAGGUUAAUAACCUUAGCAAUUGACGUUAGCGACAGAAGAAGCACCGGCUAACUCCGUGCCAGCAGCCGCGGUAAUACGGAGGGUGCGAGCGUUAAUCGGAAUUACUGGGCGUAAAGGGCACGCAGGCGGUUACUUAAUGUAGACGUGAACUCCCCCGGCUUAACCUGGGAAUGUCAUUCAAGACUGGUUAACUAGAGGCUUGUAGAGGGGGGUAGAAUUCCAUGUGUAGCGGUGAAAUGAGUAGAGAUGUGGAGGAAUUCCGGUGGCGAAGGUGGACACCUGGACAAAGACUGACGCGCAUGAGAGAAAGCGUGGGGAGCAACCAGGAUUAGAUACCCCUGUAGUC
rnacentral:rRNA from 1 species